rnacentral:rRNA from 1 species
UAGAGUUUGAUCCUGGCUCAGAAUGAACGCUGGCGGCGUGCCUAACACAUGCAAGUCGGAUGUGCCGCAAGGUGCAUGGCAGACGGGUGAGUAACGCGUAGGGAAUCUACCUUUUUGUGGGGAAUAACGCUCCGAAAGGAGUGGUAAUACCGCAUGAGACCACGAGCUGGGAUGCUUGUGGUGAAACCUGGGGACCGCAAGGCCUGGGGCAAGAAGAGGAUCCUGCGUCUGAUUAGCUAGUUGGCGGGGUAAUGGCCCACCAAGGCGACGAUCAGUAGCCGGCCUGAGAGGGUGAUCGGCCACACUGGAACUGAGACACGGUCCAGACUCCUACGGGAGGCAGCAGUGGGGAAUUUUGCGCAAUGGACGAGAGUCUGACGCAGCAACGCCGCGUGGGUGAUGAAGGUCUUCGGACUGUAAAACCCUGUCGUCAGGGACGAAGGUAUGGGAGUUAAUAGCUCUUAUGCUUGACGGUACCUGGAGAGGAAGCCCCGGCUAACUCUGUGCCAGCAGCCGCGGUAAUACAGAGGGGGCAAGCGUUAUUCGGAAUUAUUGGGCGUAAAGGGCGCGUAGGCGGUUUUUUAAGUCAGAUGUGUAAUCCCCGAGCUCAACUUGGGAACUGCAUCUGAGACUGGAAGGCUAGAGUACUGGAGAGGGUGGUGGAAUUCCUCGUGUAGCGGUGAAAUGCGUAGAGAUGAGGAGGAACACCAGUGGCGAAGGCGGCCACCUGGACAGUAACUGACGCUGAGGCGCGAAAGUGUGGGUAGCAAACAGGAUUAGAUACCCUGGUAGUCCACGCUGUAAACGAUGAACACUUGGUGUGGAGGGAGUUGACCCCUUCCGUGCCGGAGCUAACGCGUUAAGUGUU